UUUCCUCGCGAAUCCCUAUUUAAGUAUUUGGCUUGGAGGCGCUCGCAUCCCACAUAUAUUCGAUUUUGACCAUAGCCGGAAUUUUUCUUGCCAACCUUUAAAACUAAAUUCGAUCGUUCCGUCCUCGUAGCGUUAUACACACCAUAAAGGGUGAUACUCGUUGCGAAGGGGAACGUGAGAAGAGUACUUAAGCUUUCGUUUCGAUCGUUAGGGCUGUCUGCCGGCUAAUUAAGCUCUUAAAUGUUUGCGAGAUAGAUAAUGGAUAAAGCGUUCGUAAUAGUUACGACUCGAUUACGAUAGAUUAUUUCGAGUAUAUUCGAUAUAGAUUUUUUUGAGGAAUUUUUAUAUAUCGUUUGUUUUAGGGUCAUGGAUAAAAGAAGUAUCGGCGAGAUGUCAUUGGGGAUUUCGGUAAAUGUGUUUCGAUGAGGUUAGUUGGUCGUAAUACAUUGGACAAUCUCAAGUAGACUACGUAUAGUUUAUGUAAUAAAGAGGACCGAAAGAGGGAAAGGACUGUUCUCGAAGAGAAAGCUACGGACGACCCUCGUGCAAUCUCGUAAUAUUCCCAGCGGCAAACGCGAUCCCUGAAAUCUCUGGAGAUUUUAGCGAUAUAAGGAACCACCGAAGGGUGAAGAGGAAGAAUAGAGUCGUAGAAAAGAAGAUGAGGAAGACGAGGGGGAGAAGGAACGCUUACGUAUCGAGAAAAAUCGUCGAGGUGCGAGCUCGCACGUCGUGCUACUACUGCUGUUACUGCUGCUCUACGGAAAAGCUGGCCAGACAAAAGGGAAGAGGAGGUAAAAGAGAUAGUGGAGGAGGAGGAGGAGGAGGAAGUACCGGGAGACUCGAAAAAGAGGAGGUUCCAACGGAAAAAGAGGAAAACGGCCAGAGCUACGAGCAAAGCUUGCGGAAUGGUCGAGGUUGGCAACGUCGUCGUGAUAAAAAGUAAAUGAGGAACAAAGGUCCCGGCUUUCGCGACCGAGCGAGGGUGGAAAGUGUACGCUGAGAGUGGGGCUUGGGAAUUUAGAGGUGGGGUCUCCACCGUCGGCAGACGUGCUGGGAAUAAUGCCGACGGAAUUACACGCUUCGGCGAGGGGGAAAGACGACGUCGAGCUGGAGGGAGUUAAAAGAGAAGAGAACUCAACCGAGGCGGCGAGGGUAGCGGCGAGGGUAGCGGCGAGGGGAAAAGUGGCGAGACUCGACGAAUCGCGAAGCAGCCAGCACGUUGGAGGGCAAGAAAAUUGAGGAAAAUUAAUUGAUAGAGCGUACACAGGAGCUCUUUUCCGCGAACGUGACCUGAGAACAAAACGAUCCAGACGCUCCGAUUUUCUCUGAUGUAACAGGAUGUACCUUGCAGUGAUCUUUGCUAGUUACACGGGUAAACUUUUUAAAUUUACUCUCGAGGUGAAUUUUGUAUCUCGUUACUUCGGAAAUACCCGCGAAUUUGUAAACUUUAAUCAAAAUCAAUGAAUUCGAAUAUCGUAUCGCGAUAAUAUUUUGUACAUUUGUAUAUACUUAAAGUUUUAACGUUUCAUCGAUAGUUAUCGCGAUUAUUCGCUCGAACGGACACAUAAACUCGAAUGAAAAAGGAAAUAAUGAAGAAAUAAAAAAAAAGAAGGAAAGGACUCCCGUUCGUUCCGUUACUCGAGCACGUACUACAACGAGCUACGCUGGAUUCUAAAUAGGGUUAGAAGUGGAACGUGUUAACGCGUCAUAGAAAAGCAACGCCUACGAGCUCCGAGUAUUUUCCAGUUGUCCGUAAGUGGAGAAACGAGGUGUCAAGAGUCGUUCGCUCGACCGAUUGCAAAGCGAUCGUUUCUAAUCCCAGUAGUGAACAAGCUCAUAUAAAUUAAAUUCCUAUCGAGAUACGGAGGGAGUGUUUCUGUUUUGCCUGCCGACUUGAUAAUUAGAAAAAGAAUGAAAGAAAGAAAAGACAAAAAGAACCAACGAAAAAAAGCAGAACGGAAAGAUAUAGACGUAAACAGUACAAAUUCUUUCACGUAUUUAUCGCAUAUUAUUAUCUAACUUCGUAUAUAAAUUGUCUUUCCUCCUACACUCUUUUUAUCCCUUCGCGUGCCGUCAAACCUACACAUUGGGUGUAAACACAGAGCGCUACAAACGAAUCAACACGUUCUUGUUCAAUCCUAUCUCGGCAAGCGUGCUCCGUCCGAUACGAUAAGCGCGACCAGUUCGAACCUCUCUGCGCGGAAAGAAAAAACAAAUUCAAAAAAGGGAUAAAGAGAUCGAAACGUUGUCGUAUUUUUCGAAAGAGAAGAAAUACAGAUAACGUUUUAUCCGCCAUACGUAUCGGAAUAUUCGUCUUUACAUCUGCCGGAAGUGAUAAGGAAUUAUUUUUCAAGGUUCUCGAUGUAACUUAUUUUUAUUUUUUUUUAAUUCAAAGACAAAAGAAUACUCGCUAUAUCUAUAAAUAUAUGUCAAAAUGAAACGACGAAAAUAGAGCAUAGGAAAGUGCCUCGAAUGG
rnacentral:lncRNA from 1 species